GGUUGAUGUCGUGAUAGUUAUUUUUUUUUAAAGGAAGAGAGACAAAAAAUAAAAUGGCCGAAUAGACUAGCGAUGAAAAAUGGCCAAAGUGCCAUACUGGCGCAUACCGGUAGGCCAGUACACACCGAUGAAAAAGACGACACCAAAGAAAUAAGGGAUUUUCCGCAGGAUUGGCAUGUUUGGCACGACACUCAACCGGAUCAAAACAUUCAUAAUUAACGCCAUAUUGAUGCAGCUAGUGCUCUGUCGACAAUUGGCGCCAUUUAGAAUCCCGCAGGAUCAACUUUGUUCGUUCAAACUUCCUUUCACUCGUCCUUAUUCGGUUGGCAUAUUUCUAAAUAGCAUUGCGGUUUCGACUAUUUAGGCCUGCUCAUAUGUCGUUCUGCAUAGGAAGCUUCU